CGGGGCCUAAGAAAGGCCUGGCUUGGCCCUUGACGGAUCUGAACCACAGUGGGUCAUUCUCGCCUUGAAAAGAAACCAAGAUAAAAAGAAACAGCUCUCAGAACAAAACCAGAGAUUCAUUGCCCCAUUUUUCCUCUCUUUAAUCAUCCAAACUUGAACUGAGGAGCACUGCUGGCUUGAAAAUGAUCCAAGAACAAAAGAAACAACUCUCCAAGGUCAUACACCAAACAAAAACUGAGAAACAUUCUGUAUGUUUGCUUUUUUUUUUUUUCUCUUCGGAACUGAAUCUGGGCUCUAACUUUGGAUUUUUAGUGGACAUCCUUUCUGGAUUCUCAGCUCCAUCUUCCUCAAACCUCUUGCCAUAUCCCUGCUUCCUUUAAAAAUUUCCCUAAGAGAAAGAAAAAUAUCAUAUGAUAUCACUCAUAUGUGGAAUCUAAAAGAAAAAA